rnacentral:lncRNA from 1 species
ACGUGAUAAGUUUUACGAGCCAGAGCAGCUGUGAAAAGCCAUAUGGAAUCGACCUCAAGAAUAAAGUGGUUCUCAUUCAAGACACCGGCAACUGCACUCUGCAAAAAGCCAUGCAAAUAUACAAGGACGCCGGAGCUUACGGCCUCAUAAUUGGGCUUGCCUCCAACAAGAUCGAUGAUAUAAGUGUCGAGAAGACGGCUUCAUCUGUGACGGACCUGGUACUCAUAUUUGCAACAAACAAAACGGCUGCAUUUCUUGGGAAAAUAAUGAUACCGAAGCAACCAUUGCCGGCAAAAUUCUUCACGAAGAACAUGGAAGUGGACCCUGGCCUGGCCGUG